rnacentral:rRNA from 1 species
AUUGAACGCUGGCGGCAGGCCUAACACAUGCAAGUCGAGCGGAGCGGCGGACGGGUGAGUAAUACCUAGGUAUCUGCCUGGUAGUGGGGGAUAACGUUCGGAAACGGACGCUAAUACCGCAUACUAUCAGAUGAGCCUAGGUCGGAGUAGCUAGUUGGUGGGGUAAUGGCUCACCAAGGCAACGAUCCGUAACUGGUCUGAGUGGAUGAUCAGACACACUGGAACGGUGACACGGUGCAGACUCCUAAGGGAGGCAGCGUUGGUGAAUAUGGAAUAAUGGGCGAAAGCCUGAUCCAGCCAAGCAGCGUGUGUGAAGAAGGUAUUCGGAUUGUAAAGCACUUUAAGUUGGGAGGCGUUACUGACAGAAUAAGCACCGGCUAACUCUGUGCCAGCAGCCGCGGUAAUAC